CCGUAGAUGACGCUGGCGGCGUGCUUAACACAUGCAAGUCGAACGAUGAUCUCCAGCUUGCUGGGGGGAUUAGUGGCGAACGGGUGAGUAACACGUGAGUAACCUGCCCUUGACUCUGGGAUAAGCCUGGGAAACUGGGUCUAAUACCGGAUACGACCAUUCCGCGCAUGCGGUGGUGGUGGAAAGCUUUUGCGGUUUUGGAUGGACUCGCGGCCUAUCAGCUUGUUGGUGGGGUAAUGGCCUACCAAGGCGACGACGGGUAGCCGGCCUGAGAGGGUGACCGGCCACACUGGGACUGAGACACGGCCCAGACUCCUACGGGAGGCAGCAGUGGGGAAUAUUGCACAAUGGGCGGAAGCCUGAUGCAGCGACGCCGCGUGAGGGAUGACGGCCUUCGGGUUGUAAACCUCUUUCAGUAGGGAAGAAGCGAAAGUGACGGUACCUGCAGAAGAAGCGCCGGCUAACUACGUGCCAGCAGCCGCGGUAAUACGUAGGGCGCAAGCGUUAUCCGGAAUUAUUGGGCGUAAAGAGCUCGUAGGCGGUUUGUCGCGUCUGCUGUGAAAGACCGGGGCUCAACUCCGGUUCUGCAGUGGGUACGGGCAGACUAGAGUGAUGUAGGGGAGACUGGAAUUCCUGGUGUAGCGGUGAAAUGCGCAGAUAUCAGGAGGAACACCGAUGGCGAAGGCAGGUCUCUGGGCAUUAACUGACGCUGAGGAGCGAAAGCAUGGGGAGCGAACAGGAUUAGAUACCCUGGUAGUCCAUGCCGUAAACGUUGGGCACUAGGUGGGGGGGACAUUCCACGUUUUCCGCGCCGUAGCUAACGCAUUAAGUGCCCCGCCUGGAGA
rnacentral:rRNA from 1 species